rnacentral:rRNA from 1 species
AUUGAACGCUGGCGGCAGGCCUAACACAUGCAAGUCGAACGAGUGGCGGACGGGUGAGUAAUGUAUGGGAAACUGCCCGAUGGAGGGGGAUAACUACUGGAAAAGGUAGCUACUACAGCAUACGAUCGGAUGUGGCCAGAUGGGAUGAGCUAGUAGGUGGGGUAACGGCGCACCUAGGCGAAGAUCCCUAGCUGGUCGGAGAGGCUGACCGGCCACACUGGAACUGAGACACGGUCCAGACUCCUACGGGAGGCAGCAGUGGGGAAGAUUGCACAAUGGGCGCAAGCCUGAUGCAGCCAUGCCGCGUGUAUGAAGAAGGCCUUCGGGUUGUAAAGUACUUUCAUCGGGGAGGCGUUACCCGCAGAAGAAGCACCGGCUAACUCCGUGCCAGCAGCCGCGGUAAUUC